GACGAACGCUGGCGGCGCGCCUAACACAUGCAAGUCGAACGGAGCUUAGAGAGCUUGCUUUUUAAGCUUAGUGGCGAACGGGUGAGUAACGCGUGAGUAACCUGCCCUAGAGUGGGGGACAACAGUUGGAAACGACUGCUAAUACCGCAUAAGCCCACGGUACCGCAUGGCACUGAGGGAAAAGGAUUUAUUCGCUUUAGGAUGGACUCGCGUCCAAUUAGCUAGUUGGUGAGGUAACGGCCCACCAAGGCGACGAUUGGUAGCCGGACUGAGAGGUUGAACGGCCACAUUGGGACUGAGACACGGCCCAGACUCCUACGGGAGGCAGCAGUGGGGGAUAUUGCACAAUGGGGGAAACCCUGAUGCAGCGACGCCGCGUGGAGGAAGAAGGUUUUCGGAUUGUAAACUCCUGUCGUUAGGGACGAUAAUGA
rnacentral:rRNA from 1 species